CAGAACCAGAUCUUGCGGGAACUGUACCUCAAGGAGCUACGAACCCAGAAACUCUACACGCAGUAUCACGUGAAUCCCCUCCGCAAGAGUGAGAGUUCAUACAGUCACCAGGAAGCCCAUGUCUUGGCAUGAUAACCUGGAGGAACCUGCAGAUGAUGAGUAAAGUGGCCCAGAGAAGUGAUGCCACCCAACAAGCCGGUAGUAGCACUGACUCCAAAGCCCAGGUUCAUUCCAUUGUCCGCCUGCCUCUCUCCGGUGGAGACUUGAUAGGGCAGAACUAUGGAGCUGCAAAUCCAUCUGUUGUCGGCAGCCAUACUUAUUUCAAUACACAAAGAUUUGACCUCACUUCUUACAACCUUGCUCCUCACUCUCUGUUGUGCUACACUGGCCAAACUCGCUCAUGCCUCAGGACCUUUGCUCUUGCUGCCUGUGGUGUGCUCUUCCUCUGCCUCUUCCCAGGGCUGGCUCCUGCUUGGCAACCAGAGAGGCCUUCUCUCGCCGCCCCAUCUACAGCAGCUGCCCUUGCCUGCACAUGACCCUUCACCUAUUCCUUUCUUCACAGCGUGUAUCCCUGUCUGCCACCAUCACGUCAUUUUGUAAACCUGAAUACUGUGUCUUCUGCCUCAUCUAGAGUAUGAGCUCUAGGAGAGCAGGGACCAUGCUGUCACUCAGCACUCUAUGCCCAGCGCCCGGAAGCAUGUCUGGCACAGAGUUUGAGCUCACCACAUAUUUGUUGAAAGAUGAGUGGAGAGACCAGACACCCUGGUCUUGAGGCUGAGGCAAACCUCCAAGGCACAGAUGCUCUGCCUGAAAGGAACAAUGUGGACGCAGGAAAGGGCACAGGACCAACCUCUGGUCCCAAAGCCUGACUCCUUCAUAACUCAUACCUCG